rnacentral:rRNA from 1 species
GAUGAACGCUGGCGGCGUGCCUAAUACAUGCGAGUCGAGCGAACAGACGCGGAGCUUGCUCCUUUGACGUUAGCGGCGGACGGGUGAGUAACACGUGGAUAACCUACCUAUAAGACUGGGAUAACUUCGGGAAACCGGAGCUAAUACCGGAUAAUAUAUUGAACCGCAUGGUUCAAUAGUGAAAGACGGUUUUGCUGUAACUUCUAGAUGGAUCCGCGCCGCAUUAGCUAGUUGGUAAGGUAACGGCUUACCAAGGGAACGAUGCGUAGCCGACCUGAGAGGGUGAUCGGCCACACUGGAACUGAGACAGCGUCCAGACGCCUACGGGAGGCAGCAGUAGGGAAUCUUCCGCAAUGGGCGAAAGUCUGACGGAGCAACGCCGCGUGAGUGAUGAAGGUCUUCGGAUCGUAAAACUCUGUUAUUAGUGAAGAACAAAUGUGUAAGUAACUAUGCACGUCUUGACGGUACCUAAUCAGAAAGCCACGGCUAACUACGUG